rnacentral:rRNA from 1 species
AGAGCGAACGCUGGCGGCAGGCCUAACACAUGCAAGUCGAGCGCCCCGCAAGGGGAGCGGCAGACGGGAGAGUAACACGUGGGAACGUACCCUUCAGUUCGGAACAACCCAGGGAAACUUGGGCUAAUACCGAAUACGUCCGUAAGGAGAAAGAUUUAUCGCUGAAGGAUCGGCCCGCGUCUGAUUAGCUAGUUGGUGGGGUAAUGGCCCACCAAGGCGACGAUCAGUAGCUGGUCUGAGAGGAUGAUCAGCCUCAUUGGGACUGAGACACGGCCCAAACUCCUACGGGAGGCAGCAGUUAGGAAUCUUGCGCAAUGGGCGAAAGCCUGACGCAGCGACGCCGCGUGCGGGAUGACGGCCCUCGGGUUGUAAACCGCUUUCAGCAGGGACGAUUAUGACGGUACCUGCAGAAGAAGCCCCGGACAACUACGUGCCAGCAGCCGC